GAUCAUGGCUCAGGAUGAACGUUAGCUACAGGCUUAACACAUGCAAGUCGAGGGGCGUCGGGAAGAAAGCUUGCUUUCUUUGCUGGCGACCGGCGCACGGGUGAGUAACACGUAUCCAACCUGCCCUUUACUCGGGGAUAGCCUUUCGAAAGAAAGAUUAAUACCCGAUAGCAUAAUGAUUCCGCAUGGUUUCAUUAUUAAAGGAUUCCGGUAAAGGAUGGGGAUGCGUUCCAUUAGGUUGUUGGUGAGGUAACGGCU
rnacentral:rRNA from 1 species